UGAAUCUCAGAGCUGAACGAGAAGAUACAGCAGAAGCUACCUUUUAAAAGAUUGGAGCGACUCAACUAAAGAAAAGACUACUUUUAAACUGUUUCUGUGCAGGUCCAGAAGUUGAUGGCUGUGAGAAAAACACAGUUGGACUGUGUCUUUGAGGAGUCAGGAAGUGAUUCCUCUGGGUCUGAAUUAUGCAGCCACACCGGAUUGGACCCAGAUUACAAGCUACCUCUGAAUGCAUCAUCAUCCAGUGAUGAUGAAGAUUUGAAAAGCCCAGGCAAAGCUAAGAAAUUGUCCCGUAAAGAAGAGUUCAAAGGUACAGACACAAGUUCAAGUGAAGAUGGAGAUCCGCAAGUAGG